AUGGAUGUGCAUGACUUGAAGAAGGAAAUACAGCAGAGACUUCAAAACAGAAAGUAUUUGAUUGUACUGGAUGAUGUCUGGGAGCAAGAUAUAUACUUCCAGAUACAUGAUGCUCUCCAUGAUCUCCCAGGCAGUCGGAUUAUCAUUACGACACGGAAGGAUCAUGUCGCCGGAAUUUCUUCUCCCACCCGUCACCUUGAGCUUGAGCCAUUGAGCCAGUCUGAUGCAUUUGACCUCUUCUGCAGAAGGGCUUUUUACAACCGGGAGGGGCACAUAUGCCCCAAGGAUUUUGAGAUGAUAGCUACUUCUAUAGUUGACAGGUGCCGUGGCCUACCUCUAGCAAUUGUUACCAUUGGUGGCAUGUUGUCUUCAAGACAACGGUUAGACAUUUGGACUCAAAAAUACAAUCAACUUCGAAGCGAGUUGUCAAACAAUGAUCAUAUCCGAGCAAUUUUAGAUCUGAGCUACCAUGAUCUUCCAUACAACCUCAGACUCUGCUUCUUGUACUGUUGUCUCUUUCCUGAAGACUACCACAUGUCACCUGAAAGCCUUGUGCGACUGUGGGUUGCAGAAGGCUUUGUGCGGAGUAAAGAUAAAAAAACACCGGAGAUGGUGGCUGAGAGCUAUCUCAUGGAACUGAUCCACUGCAAUAUGCUUCAAGUCGUGGAGUAUGAUGAGCUUGGCAGGGUUAAUACUUGUAAGAUGCAUGAUAUUGUGCGUGAACUAGCUAUUUCUGUUGCUAAAGAAGAGAGAUUUGCUUCAGCAGAUGAUUACGCCACAAUGAUAUUGGUACAGCAGGAUAAGGAUGUUCGUCGUCUGUCAUUAUGUGGAUGGAAAGACCACAGAGCAGUGAAAAUUAAACUUCCACAUCUCCGAACAGUACUGUCACUCGGAGGAACUGCGUCCUCCCCUGGCAUGUUGUCAUCAAUUUUGUCUGAGUCUAUCUAUCUUACAGUUCUCGAGCUUCAAGACUCUGAAGUCACUGAAGUGCCAGCAUCCAUAGGGCGUUUGUUCCAUCUACGUUACAUUGGCUUACGAGGCACCAAGGUCAAAUCACUCCCCAAUUCUAUCGAGAAUCUGUCUAACCUCCACACUCUGGACAUCAAGCAAACCCAAAUAGAGAAGCUACCACGAGGGGUUGUGAUGAUCAAGAAGCUGCGGCACCUUUUAGCCGAUAGAUAUGCUGAUGAGAAGCAGACAGAGUUCCGGUACUUUAUUGGAGUGCAAGCACCUAAAGGGCUGUCCAACUUGGAAGAACUGCAAACUCUCGAGACUGUGCAGUCCAGUUUUGAGUUGGCCGAGCAGCUGAAGAAGCUGGUGCAACUAAGCAGUUUGUGGAUUGAUGACAUUAGUGCUGACGACUGUGCAAAUCUUUUUGCUACCCUGUCAACUAUGCCACUUCUUUCGAGCUUGCUUCUUUCUGCAAGGGAUGAGAAUGAGGUGCUUUGCUUCGAGGCUCUCAAACCAAGGUCUACAUAUCUGCACAGGUUGAUUACCAGAGGACAAUGGGCCAAGGGAACACUAAAUUGCCAGAUCUUUUUCAGCCAUGGGAAAAACCUCAAGUAUCUAGCUAUAAGCUGGUGUCACCUUGUGGAAGAUCCACUGGGGAUGCUGGCACCGCACAUGCCAAACCUCACAUAUCUUAGACUGAACAACAUGUACAGUGCAAAAACUUUGGUUCUGUCUAAAGACUCCUUUCCCAACCUGAAGACGCUAGUCUUAAAGCACAUGCAUGAUGUCAGUGAGCUAAAAAUCAUUGAUGGCGCUCUUCCCUGCAUUGAUGGUUUGUACAUUGUGUCGCUGUCCAAGCUUGAUAAAGUCCCUCAAGGCAUUGAAUCCCUUCGCUCCCUUAAGAAGCUCUGGCUGCUGAGCUUGCACAAGGAUUUCAGAACUCAAUGGGACACUGAAGGGAUGCAUCUGAAGAUGGUACAUGUUCCAGAGGUUCGUGUGUAG
rnacentral:rRNA from 1 species